CCUACGGGAGGCAGCAGUGGGGAAUAUUGCACAAUGGGGGAAACCCUGAUGCAGCGACGCCGCGUGAGUGAAGAAGUAUUUCGGUAUGUAAAGCUCUAUCAGCAGGGAAGAUAAUGACGGUACCUGAGUAAGAAGCCCCGGCUAACUACGUGCCAGCAGCCGCGGUAAUACGUAGGGGGCAAGCGUUAUCCGGAUUUACUGGGUGUAAAGGGAGCGUAGACGGCAUGGCAAGUCUGAAGUGAAAGCCCGGGGCUUAACCCCGGAACUGCUUUGGAAACUGUGCAGCUAGAGUGCAGGAGAGGUAAGUGGAAUUCCUAGUGUAGCGGUGAAAUGCGUAGAUAUUAGGAGGAACACCAGUGGCGAAGGCGGCUUACUGGACUGUAACUGACGUUGAGGCUCGAAAGCGUGGGGAGCAAACAGGAUUAGAUACCCGUGUAGUC
rnacentral:rRNA from 1 species